rnacentral:rRNA from 1 species
UACGUAGGGGGCAAGCGUUGUCCGGAAUUAUUGGGCGUAAAGAGCGCGUAGGCGGUCCGGUAAGUCGGCUGUGAAAGUCAAGGGCUCAACCCUUGAAAGCCGGCCGAUACUGUCGGACUAGAGUCCGGAAGAGGCGAGUGGAAUUCCCGGUGUAGCGGUGGAAAAUGCGCAGAUAUCGGGAAGGAACACCAAUGGCGAAGGCAGCUCGCUGGGACGGUACUGACGCUGAGGCGCGAAAGCGUGGGAGCAACAGGAUUAAGAAACCCUUGGUAGU